rnacentral:rRNA from 1 species
UACGAAGGGGGCUAGCGUUGUUCGGAGUCACUGGGCGUAAAGGGCGCGUAGGCGGCUUUGUAAGUCGGGGGUGAAAGCCUGUGGCUCAACCACAGAAUUGCCUUCGAUACUGUCUGGCUAGAGACCGGAAGAGGUAAGUGGAACUGCGAGUGUAGAGGUGAAAAUUCGUAGAUAUUCGCAAGAACACCAGUCGGCGAAGGCGGACUUGACGUGGUCCGGUUCUGACGCUGAGGCGCGAAAGCGUGGGGAGC